rnacentral:sRNA from 1 species
UAGGCACUGCUCUUGGGGUCCCCUGCUCUCCCUGGGGACGCUUCUCUCCCUGGGGACGCUUCUAUCCCUGGGGACGCUUCUAUCCCUGGGGACACUUCUAUCCCUGGGGACGCUUCUCUGCCUGGGGACGCUUCUAUCCCUGGGGACGCUUCUAUCCCUGGGGACACUUCUAUCCCUGGGGAUGCUUCUCUGCCUGGGGACGCUUCUAUCCCUGGGGACAUUUCUCUCCCUGGGGACACUUCUCUCCCUAAUUCCCCUGCACAUGUUCAGAUGAGACAGCACAGCCUGAGCUUGCGUGACUGCUUCCCUGGCUCUGGGUAUAUAUAUGGGCUCCCUCCUGCCUUGAAUCCAUCUUUCUUUCAAUUUCUUUUCCACUUUCCAUUCUACAACACCCCAAGACUGAAUCUUGCUGAGAGACUUUGUGUACCCAAAGACAACUGAGCUAACAUAAAGAAUCUAUUUUCCUCCACUGGUGCUCUUCAUCAUUCUUCUUUGUUUAACUACAGUCUCACAUCUGAAAUCACCUCCUUGCAUCAUGAGCUGUUUCUAGUGAGUGGUAUUUCUCAGACAAACCCAUUUUUAAUCAUGGUGUCAACUGAUAGUUCUUGUGAUGAGCUUUAUGACACUAUCAUCAUCAGUUCAGAUGUGGAGCUGGAUGAACAUCAGUCCUCAGUGUGAAAUUUACAAAGAAAGAGACUCUGCAUAGAGUAUAGUUAUUUGAUGUAUGAGAUGCUAUUUGAUGACCCAGCACCCUCCAAACUGUUGAAGCCAC